rnacentral:rRNA from 1 species
UACGAAGGGGGCUAGCGUUGUUCGGAAUUACUGGGCGUAAAGCGUGCGCAAGCGGUUAUUCAAGUCAGAGGUGAAAGCCCCGGGCUCAACCCGGGAAUGGCCUUUGAGACUGGAUAGCUAGAGUGUGAGAGAGGUGAGUGGAAUUCCCAGUGUAGAGGUGAAAUUCGUAGAUAUUGGGAAGAACACCCGUGGCGAAGGCGGCUCACUGGCUCGCAACUGACGCUCAGGCACGACAGCGGGGGGAGCAAACAGG